UUAAAUUGAAGAGUUUGAUCAUGGCUCAGAUUGAACGCUGGCGGCAGGCCUAACACAUGCAAGUCGAACGGUAACAGGAAACAGCUUGCUGUUUCGCUGACGAGUGGCGGACGGGUGAGUAAUGUCUGGGAAACUGCCUGAUGGAGGGGGAUAACUACUGGAAACGGUAGCUAAUACCGCAUAACGUC
rnacentral:rRNA from 1 species